GCUUGAAAAAAUAUAUUAACAGCGUGUGUUGUUUGCAUUGUUCUUGACGACAGCCCGCAGGUCUUUGAAGGGCAUCCGUUCAUCGUCGAAGCAGGGAUUAGCCUGGGUGGAAAAGAUGUGAAGCAAGUCAGCGUCCCCUGUUUAAUAUUUCAUUACUGGAUAAUGCUGUUCACCUAAGUUAAACCUUCAUUCACGAUUUAUUUCUUCAGGGUCUGAACAUCUUCCGCUUCGCAAACCGUAUACCGCUUCUAUUUGAGCAGGGCGCCGAUGUCGUCACGAGGACUGCUCUCAAGCGGAUCAAGUCAGCUCAUCCCCUGAUUCAAAACUGUAUUCUCACCACAAAUAUAUAUAUAAAUAUAUAUAAAUAUAUACCUUGUUCUUACCCUGAAAAUUUUCACUUUUUUUUUCCUCUUCUGGAUUUGUGCCUUUUCAGUUGGAGUAGCUACAAGAUUAAUCAGAUGCAGGACAAAAUUGGGGUUUUUG
rnacentral:lncRNA from 1 species